GCUUCCUAAAUGGAAGGCAAACUGAUUUUUUUUUCCCUAAUGCAGAAGAGAUCCCCAUGACAGAACUGAAUCAUCAGACUGUUGAAACAUAUUGAGAGAAUGUUUUCUAUCAAUAAUGGAUUUCAAACAAGUGAAGUCAGCGAUGAAGUUAGGUCCUACAGACGGGGCAUCCGCAGACAGCGUGGGGACCACACGAAACAGCAGAGCUGUCAUCUCCACAGCAGAAACCAAAGCCGAUUGUUGUGAAAGGGUCUGGAGAGCAUUUGCCCAUGUUUCCCCACCUCACUGCCAUAGCUGCUGGGACUCCAGAGGCUGAACUGAACUCCGGGGAAGCAGGACUUUCUGAAGCUGAACUCUGCAUAAUAAUAGAGACUCCACAGUAAUCUAAACCGAGGGCCAUCAUCCAAGUCACCUUGCCAGCCAAGCUUUAAAAAGAGCUGUCCAGAAACAGCCAAGAUGGCAGCCCUGUAGCUGGCCGUGUGCAAGUCUGCAUGAUGGAGGACGGUGGGAAAGAAAUCCUUCCUUCCAUAACCCUUGUUCAUGGAACCAUAAAGGUCACAGAGGAAACAGGCUGAGCUCCUUCCCUCCGGUUCCUGUAAUGGUAUUAGCAACGACUCUUUCUUACUCAAUCGCACUCCCAAAGGAUUUUCAAUAAACUUUUUAUGUGCCAUAACUGUUACAUUAAAUAAAGCUGAAAGUAUUGAGUAAACCGACUGUAAAUCACUUUAGAUGCCUUGGAAUUACAUUAAGUGUGAGAAUUAUGGAUCUUUUGCUGCUUGCAGAAUCAGAGAAACGACAGAGCCAGGGAUUUUUAUGCUGCCAGCCUUUUUGAAGAUUUUUUUAAUUAUUUCUUUAUGCUCCACGACAGUCAUCUCUUGUAAAUGACUUGUUCAGGGGCAAACUCGGGGUAGGGAGAAGAAAGAGGAGCAGUUGGGGUGUGGAUGGAAGGAAAAAGACUCCUUGCCUUGAGGAACACAGAGAGCC
rnacentral:lncRNA from 1 species